rnacentral:piRNA from 1 species
AUCAAGGCCUUCGGAAGCUGU